GUCUGUAACUAUGAACUGUAUUUUCACUAAAACCGAACUGACUUGAACCAAGUAUACAUUCUUCAUUGAGAUUAAAGCUGAUUUUUAAGUACAAUACUACAUAAACAGGGAUCUCUACUAUAAGUCCAUUGUUUCGUUAAUUUAUUGUAGCUUAGUAUUUUAUUGAAAUUUAUUUGGCGAAAGUAGGUGAAAAUUGCGUUUUAGGCAAGUAGGUGAGUGUUUUAAUUAUCUACCCAGUGGCGUCGUCAGAAUUUAUUUAGCCACGGAACGGGGAAAUAAGUAUUGUGAGCUUGAAAAGUUUCAGUGCAAGUUUCACCAUUUCACCAGUUUCACUAAAAACUGAAACUUCUUGAAGAGUUAAAGUAAUAUUAGAAUCGUAAUGUGGCAAGAUUUGAUGAUUUUGAUCUGCAGGUUUAGUUACAACAGUAACCAGUAAGUUGAUUGGAAAUUACUUGUUUAAAAUUAUGUAUCACAUAUUUUUUUGUAAUUGUUUUUAUAUAAAUUGUUGAUUGUACUCAAAUAUUUACCUAUUUAAUAAUUACAACAAUAGGUAAUUAUUUAUAAUUUAUAUUGUAUGUUAUAAUUCGUUCCAAAACACUAAAAAUCAUUUAAAACAUUUAACUAAGUAGUAGCAUAUUAAUAGCAUUUUUUAUUGUAUAUUGUUCUUUUCAUAUUUUCCAAUUUUAACUAAUAAAAAUCUGUUAUCAUUGCUUCUGACGAUCUUAUUUUCCGUUUUGUCGUCUCUUAUCUUUGUUUAAUAUUAAUAUAUCUUUUAUAAUUGUUUAUUGAUAUUGCGCUAAGGCGCUAAGAUUUUCAUUAAAGAAAUUUAAGUAAGAGUUAAAAAAAUAUUGACAUGUCGCAUUUUUCAUAUUGUUAUAAGAAAAAAAAUCUUGAAUAAUUUCCAGGUUUUUUACCUUCGCAUCAACUGAUUCAACAAUUAAAAUGCCAUAACAAAACACAAGGAACAUUGAAUUUUGAAAAAUUAUGAUAUUUUUAAACAAAUAAUAAAUUUUAUUAAAAGGAGGAUUUUGUUGCAGACGAGUGUAAUCACACAAAUAGUAUAAUAAGACACAUAAAUAAAAUAAAAUAGAUACUUUAUUUUCUUCUCUGUUAAAUGUUUAUCUACUUUUAUACAAACUGAGGCUAGGUUUUUUAAAAAGUUGUGGAAAAUGACCGAAAAUCACUGUCAGAUCGAAAAUAUUUUUUAGUCUACUUCACUCUAUUAACUUUGUUGCUGGACCAAAAACUUAUUUAUUUGGCAUUAUCUUGACGAACUUUGUCUAAAAAUCGAAAUUGAUGGAAUAUAGGUUAAGGCUUUCUGUACAUUUUUUAAUAAAAAGUUCAGUAUUUUUGCAUAAUUGCUAAACGAGAUCGAAAAAGUCUCCAAACUGAAUUGAUGUCAUUAUUUUAUUAUUAUUAUUAUUAUUAUGUUUUUUUUGAGUAAAGACUUUCUUUUUUCGUAAGAACUUGUAAAUAUACUUAAGAACCGUGGAAGUACAAAAAUGGCUAAAAAACAUCGUUACUUUUGCUUUACAUUUAUUAGGUCAUUGGUGAGCAAAAAACAUAAUUAAUUAACUUAUAAAAUUUCGUUAAAAAUAAACCAAAACAGAUUUAACAAAU